rnacentral:rRNA from 1 species
CUACGGGGUGCUGCAGUGGGGAAUAUUGGACAAUGGGGGAAACCCUGAUCCAGCAAUGCCGCGUGUGUGAAGAAGGCCUGCGGGUUGUAAAGCACUUUCGGUUGGGAGGACUGCUUCUAGCACUAAUAUUGUUGGAAGUUGACGUUACCUUCAGAAGAAGCACCGGCUAACUCCGUGCCAGCAGCCGCGGUAAUACGGAGGGUGCAAGCAUUAAUCGGAAUUACUGGGCGUAAAGCGCGCGUAGGCGGCUAGAUCAGUCGGGUGUGAAAGCCCCGGGCUUAACCUGGGAACUGCAUCCGAUACUGUCUAGCUUGAGUACAGGAGAGGAGAGUGGAGUUCCACAUGUAGCGGUGACAUGCGUAGAUAUGUGGAGGAACACCAAUGGCGAAGGCAGCUCUCUGGCCUGAUACUGACGCUGAGGUGCGAAAGCGUGGGGAGCAAACAGGAUUAGAUACCCCAGUAGUC